AUACGGAGGAUCCGAGCGUUAUCCGGAUUUACUGGGCGUAAAGGGCGUGUAGGCGGUCUUGCAAGUCAGAAGUGAAAUUCCUGAGCUCAACUCGGGCGCUGCUUCUGAAACUGCAGGACUUGAGUGCUGGAGGGGAUAGCGGAAUUCCUAGUGGAGCGGUAAAAUGCGCAGAUAUUAGGAAGAACACCGGUGGCGAAGGCGGCUAUCUGGACAGUAACUGACGCUGAGGCGCGAAAGCGUGGGGAGCAAACAGGAUUAGAUACCCUGGUAGUCCACGCCGUAAGCGAUGAAUACUAGGUGUAGGAGGUAUCGACUCCCUCUGUGCCGCAGUUAACACAAUAAGUAUUCCGCCUGGGGAGUACGGCCGCAAGGUUGAAACUCAAAUGAAUUGACGGGG
rnacentral:rRNA from 1 species